UACGAAGGGGGCUAGCGUUGCUCGGAAUCACUGGGCGUAAAGGGUGCGUAGGCGGGUCUUUAAGUCAGGGGGGAAAUCCUGGAGCUCAACUCCAGAACUGCCUUUGAUACUGAAGAUCUUGAGUUCGGUAGAGGAGUGUGGAAUUCCUGGUGGAGCGGUGAAAUGCGUAGAUAUCAAGAGGAACACCUGAGGUGAAGACGGGUUGCUGGGCUGACACUGACGCUGAGGCGCGAAAGCCAGGGGAGCAAACGGG
rnacentral:rRNA from 1 species